GUCAGCGCGGUUGUCAUCGUUAGAUGCCGCGGUGAUCGAACUUGGCGGCGAGGAUCGUCGAGGAUCGUCACAGUGAGGAGGACCACGGCAUCGGAAAGCUACUUCGCAGUUCAUCCCUGUGGCUGAUUUUGAUCGACGAUGCGGACGACACGACUGACGGAGACGGUAUGAUCUGAUGGAUCAAUGGUAGACGCAGUUGUAGAGGACGCGAUUCCAGUGAAUGUUUGUGCAGCACCGGAGGAUCCGGUUCGGGCCAAGCAGGGUCGGCUCGAAGACUUGAAUGCAGAACGUGGCCGGCUCUGAGUUCGCGUUGCUUCGGUGAGUGACAAAAGGGAAAAUUGAAGGUGAUGGUUCCGUUUCCGUGAAUUUAUAGAAAUCAAUGUGAUUUACUUUGUACAAUCAAAAUUGAAAAUAUAGAGGACCUAUUAGAGCAAACGUGGGAAGGAAGUACGCAUAAAUAAUUUCGUUCUUGCUUAACACAUUGACGUGUUAAGAAGAUUUGAAAGUUUAAAUGUUUAAAAACAUUUCUCAUUUUCUUCAAGUUUUAGAUCUUGGAAAUACAAUUUCGACUAUUUUAAUAAUAUUUAGGAUGUUUUUACCAAAAGUACAAAAAAGAGUUGUAUAAAAGAGAAUAUACGUAUUGACUUUUUACAAAUAGUUGCCCCGCUUCUCUCUACAGUCAAAAGUAUCGAAAGUCGCGAUUGUAUAACGCAGUAAAAAAUUUAUUCUUUGAAGAAAAGUAAAAAAUUGCACAGUUUUAGAAGUCCUCUACAUCUUCAAUUUAGAUUGCGAUUUAUUUUGAUCAUAGAUUUUUGCAUGUUGUGUUGCGUGUACGUACCAGAAGAGAUAUGGAGAAUUGUUUACACAAUUCCCAUUGGAAACACAAGUUUCCGGGUGCGAUCGUGAGCUUCCGAUCGCCAUUUCAUCCGCGGGUUUAGCCGACUAUUCCGAGUUCUCUUUCGGAAUCGGUCUGUCGUCAUUACGUGACGAACAAAACGCUAGUGGCCUUCUAAUCGCGAUGUGAAAUUUAUGCAGCUUUGCUGCGAUCGAACCGACUUUUUAUUUGUUUUUGUUACUUGCUCUUGUUAAAAUCUUUCUAAUAGUUCUAGAUAUUUCCAGUAGAAGUACUCGCGAAAAUCGUGACAAUCGGGAAUUUUUUGGAGUAGUACGCGAAUUCGCGCAAAGUUCGCUUGUAUUUACAGAUUUCGCGAUGAAACUUCCGUUUCGACAAACGUAAACUUCCAUUUUCUUACACACACAUUCACUUUCCGAUUAUCGUGUAUUUAUU